CUGUGGGAACGAAUGGCUCAAGUUAAUGAAGCUAAUGAAAUAUCAAAAACCUACCAAAAAUAAAAAUGCCAUUUAUGUCUGCCUGUCACCACAUAGAAAGCUUUCCGAAAGACACAAUUCCUUGUUUCAAGAAGUUUUAUCGAUCAUCUGCA